CGUACGCUUCUUUUUCCACCGGAGCUUGCUCCACCGGAAAAAGAAGAGUGGCGAACGGGUGAGUAACACGUGGGUAACCUGCCCAUCAGAAGGGGAUAACACUUGGAAACAGGUGCUAAUACCGUAUAACAAUCGAAACCGCAUGGUUUUGAUUUGAAAGGCGCUUUCGGGUGUCGCUGAUGGAUGGACCCGCGGUGCAUUAGCUAGUUGGUGAGGUAACGGCUCACCAAGGCCACGAUGCAUAGCCGACCUGAGAGGGUGAUCGGCCACAUUGGGACUGAGACACGGCCCAAACUCCUACGGGAGGCAGCAGUAGGGAAUCUUCGGCAAUGGACGAAAGUCUGACCGAGCAACGCCGCGUGAGUGAAGAAGGUUUUCGGAUCGUAAAACUCUGUUGUUAGAGAAGAACAAGGAUGAGAGUAACUGUUCAUCCCUUGACGGUAUCUAACCAGAAAGCCACGGCUAACUACGUGCCAGCAGCCGCGGUAAUACGUAGGUGGCAAGCGUUGUCCGGAUUUAUUGGGCGUAAAGCGAGCGCAGGCGGUUUCUUAAGUCUGAUGUGAAAGCCCCCGGCUCAACCGGGGAGGGUCAUUGGAAACUGGGAGACUUGAGUGCAGAAGAGGAGAGUGGAAUUCCAUGUGUAGCGGUGAAAUGCGUAGAUAUAUGGAGGAACACCAGUGGCGAAGGCGGCUCUCUGGUCUGUAACUGACGCUGAGGCUCGAAAGCGUGGGGAGCAAACAGGAUUAGAUACCCUGGUAGUCCACGCCGUAAACGAUGAGUGCUAAGUGUUGGAGGGUUUCCGCCCUUCAGUGCUGCAGCUAACGCAUUAAGCACUCCGCCUGGGG
rnacentral:rRNA from 1 species